GGAAGGGUGGCCGAGUUGGUUAUGGCGCCAGGUUAAGGUCAGCUUAAUGUCUGUUUCCUGGUGGGGCAACCCGCGCGAGUUCGAGUCUCGUCCCUUUCA
rfam:Colletotrichum orbiculare MAFF 240422 contig00909, whole genome shotgun sequence.